rnacentral:lncRNA from 1 species
AGGUCAGGGCCAAGCAAAACAAAUUAACCCUCCAUACUUAGUCUCCUCCGGUUUAUACUCCUAUUUCUUUUUUCCGUCAGGGGUUAAAAGUCGAUGGUGAUUUUGCCGCUAGGAGAAGAAGUCGCCUUUAUGGUGCGUUGUUCGAUUGAUGACAGGAUUAUAGUUGGGUGUUGAAAAAAAGCGAAGAAGAGAGCGGCAAUGAUUGAUGGAUUGUGACGUGAGAAAAUAGAGGUGAGAAUGAUAGGAGGUGGAGGAAAGAAUAGAGAGGUGAAGCAGCGAUUGAUGAUGGUGUAUGUACUGAGAAGAGAAGAUAGAUGGAGAUGGAGAUAACGACCGAUCGUGUUCGUAUUUGUGCAAAUAUUUUGUGCAAAUGUAUUAAUAUAACGUAUUUGUGCAAUAAUUUGAGGCAUCCGGUA